rnacentral:rRNA from 1 species
UACGGAGGGUGCGAGCGUUGUCCGGAAUCACUGGGCGUAAAGGGCGCGUAGGCGGCUUUUUAAGGGUGCGGUGAAAGCCCGGGGCUUAACCCCGGGUCGGCCGUGCCGACUGAAAAGCUGGAGCACUGUAGAGGCAGGUGGAGUUCCGGGUGUAGCGGUGGAAUGCGUAGAGAUCCGGAAGAACACCAGUGGCGAAGGCGGCCUGCUGGGCAGUUGCUGACGCUGAGGCGCGACAGCGUGGGGAGCAAACAGG